rnacentral:rRNA from 1 species
AGUGAACGCUGGCGGUAGGCCUAACACAUGCAAGUCGAACGGCAGCACAGGAGAGCUUGCUCUCUGGGUGGCGAGUGGCGGACGGGUGAGGAAUACAUCGGAAUCUACCUUUUCGUGGGGGAUAACGUAGGGAAACUUACGCUAAUACCGCAUACGACCUACGGGUGAAAGUGGGGGACCGCAAGGCCUCACGCGAUUAGAUGAGCCGAUGUCCGAUUAGUUAGUUGGCGGGGUAAUGGCCCACCAAGGCGACGAUCGGUAGCUGGUCUGAGAGGAUGAUCAGGCACACUGGAACUGAGACACGGACCAGACUCCGACGGGAGGCAGCAGUGGGGAAUAUUGGACAAUGGGCGCAAGCCUGAUCCAGCCAUACCGCGUGGGUGAAGAAGGCCUUCGGGUUGUAAAGCCCUUUUGUUGGGAAAGAAAUCCUGUCGAUUAAUACUCGGUGGGGAUGACGGUACCCAAAGAAUAAGCACCGGCAAACUUCGUGCCAGCCGCCGCGGUAAAAC